rnacentral:rRNA from 1 species
AUUGAACGCUGGCGGAAUGCUUUACACAUGCAAGUCGAACGGCAGCACGGGGCAACCUGGUGGCGAGUGGCGAACGGGUGAGUAAUAUAUCGGAACGUGCCCAAUCGUGGGGGAUAACGUAGCGAAAGUUACGCUAAUACCGCAUACGAUCUACGGAUGAAAGCGGGGGAUCGCAAGACCUCGCGCGAAUGGAGCGGCCGAUAUCAGAUUAGGUAGUUGGUGGGGUAAAGGCUCACCAAGCCAACGAUCUGUAGCUGGUCUGAGAGGACGACCAGCCACACUGGAACUGAGACACGGUCCAGACUCCUACGGGAGGCAGCAGUGGGGAAUUUUGGACAAUGGGCGAAAGCCUGACCCAGCCAUGCCGCGUGAAGGAAGACGGCCUUAUGGGUUGUAAACUUCUUUACUACGCGAAUAGAGGUUAGUACGAGAUACUAAUAGGAAGGUAGUGUAGUAAAAGCACCGGCUAACUCCGUGCCAGCAGCCGCGGUAAUCAUA